rnacentral:rRNA from 1 species
CGCCCUCUGAAAAUAAAGAAACUAAUAUAUAGAGGGUCCUGCCUGCCCAGUGACGGUAGUUAAACGGCCGCGGUAUCUUGACCGUGCAAAGGUAGCAUAAUCAUUUGCCUUUUAAAUGGAGGCUGGUAUGAAUGGCAAGACGGAAAUUUAGCUGUCUCUCUUUUAGAAUCCUGAAUUUAAUAUUUUUGUGAAGAAGCGAAAAUAAACUCGUAGGACGAGAAGACCCUAUUGAGCUUAAGUUAAAAGUUAUAGGCAUAUUAACUUUAUUCUUUAGCUAAUUAAAAAUAAUAAACUUACUUGAGAAUAAAAGAAUGGAGUCUGGCUGAUACUUCGGUUGGGGCAACCGCGGAGAAAAUUAAUCCUCCGCUAAAGUUGAAGGAAAAAUUACCAUUUUGGCAAGAAGAGAAAUUUCAAGAAGUGAUCCACUUUCAGGAAGUGAUCAAAGGAAUAAGUUACCAUAGGGAUAACAGCGUAAUUUUUUUGGAGAGUUCGUAUUGAUAAAAAAGUUUGCGACCUCGAUGUUGGAUCGGGACUUCCAGGAGAUGCAGCAGUUUCCAAAGGUUGGUCUGUUCGACCAUUAAAGUCCUACGUGAUCUGAGUU